AAAACUUUCAACAACGGAUCUCUUGGUUCUGGCAUCGAUGAAAAACGCAGCGAAAUGCGAUAAGUAAUGUGAAUUGCAAAAUUCAGUGAAUCAUCGAAUCUUUGAACGCACAUUGCGCCCUCUGGUAUUCCGGAGGGCAUGCCUGUUCGAGCGUCAUUU
rnacentral:rRNA from 1 species